CAUCCUACGGGGGGCAGCAGUGAGGAAUAUUGGUCAAUGGGCGGGAGCCUGAACCAGCCAAGUCGCGUGAAGGAAGAAGGUACUUAGUAUUGUAAACUUCUUUUGUCGGGGAACACAGGCGGAGACGCGUCUCCGGAUGAGUGUACCCGAAGAAAAAGCAUCGGCUAACUCCGUGCCAGCAGCCGCGGUAAUACGGAGGAUGCGAGCGUUAUCCGGAUUUAUUGGGUUUAAAGGGUGCGCAGGCGGGAGAUCCAGUCAGCGGUAAAGUGUCUGGGCUCCCCCCCGGCCUGCCGUU
rnacentral:rRNA from 1 species